rnacentral:rRNA from 1 species
UCAUAUGGAUUCCUACGGGAGGCAGCAGUUAGGAAUUUUGUGCAAUGGGGGAAACCCUGACACAGCCACGCCGCGUGCGGGAUGAAGGCCUUCGGGUCGUAAACCGCUUUUCUCAAGGAAGACACCCGACGGUACUUGAGGAAUAAGCAACGGCUAACUACGUGCCAGCAGCCGCGGUAAUACGUAGGUUGCGAGCGUUGUCCGGAUUUACUGGGUGUAAAGCGCGCGCAGGCGGUCUCGAAAGUCCACGGUGAAAGCUCCCGGCCCAACUGGGAGAGGCCCGUGGAAACUUCGAGACUUGAAGAUGGCAGAGGCAGAUGGAAUUUCCGGUGUAGCGGUAAAAUGCGUAGAUACCGGAAGGAACACCAGUGGCGAAGGCGAUCUGCUGGGCCAUCCUUGACGCUCAGGCGCGAAAGCUAGGGUAGCGACCGGGAUUAGAUACCCCGUUAGUCCUAGCCGUAAACAAUGGUCACUAGGUGUUGCAGGUAUCGACCCCCGCAGUGCCGAAGCUAACGCAUUAAGUGACCCACCUGGGGAGUACGGCCGCAAGGCUAAAACUCAAAGGAAUUGACGGGGGCCCGCACAAGCAGCGGAGCGUGCGGUUCAAUUCGAUGGUACGCGAAAAACCUUACCCAGGCUUGACAUGCAUCUCUAAACACGUGAAAGCGUGUGACCCUUCGGGGAAUUUGCACAGGUGCUGCAUGGCCGUCGUCAGCUCGUGUCGUGAGAUGUUGGGUUAAGUCCCGCAACGAGCGCAACCCUUGUGAUUAGUUGCCAGCACGUCAUGGUGGGAACUCUAAUCAGACUGCCCAGAUCAACUGGGAGGAAGGUGGGGACGACGUCAGGUCAGUAUGGCCCUUACGCCUUGGGCUGCACACGUACUACAAUGCCCAGCACAAUGAGAACCGAUACCGCGAGGUGGAGGAAAUCUGUAAAACUGGGCUCAGUUCGGAUUGGAGGCUGCAACUCGCCUCCAUGAAGUUGGAAUCGCUAGUAAUGGUGCAUCAUCUACGGCACCGUGAAUACGUUCCCGGGCCUUGUACACACCGCCAUCGGAUCCCCG